rnacentral:rRNA from 1 species
UACAGAGGGUGCAAGCGUUAAUCGGAAUUACUGGGCGUAAAGCGUGCGUAGACGGUCAUGUAAGUCGGGUGUGAAAGCCCCGGGCUCAACCUGGGAAUUGCAUUCGAGACUGCAUGGCUAGGAUGCGGAAGAGGGAAGCGGAAUUUCCGGUGUAGCGGUGAAAUGCGUAGAUAUCGGAAGGAACACCAGUGGCGAAAGCGACGCACUGGAUCUCUACUGACGCUGAGGCGCGAAAGCCAGGGGAGCAAACGGG